ACCCUGUUACGGCUUGAGCCACAUCCCCAGUCCCGGGGAUCAUUUUCUUUUGAAAAAUUUUAUUAUGGAAACACUUAAAUAUACACAUAAGUAGAGAAUCAAGUGUGGUGACCUGUACCCCCAUUCCCAGACUCGGCAGCUAUUAAUUCUAUGAUCAUUCUGAUUUCAUACCCCACUUUAGGCCUCACCCCCAGAUUAUUUUGAAGCGUGCCAAAGACACAAUACCCCUUCACAGAUGUUUCAGAAUCGUGUCUAAAGAACUCUCUGUAAAGAAAAAAAAAAAAAACAACCAAACCCCAAACCAAAAGAACAAACAAACAAACCAAAAAACAGCAAGCCCCCUUAAUUCUAGGGAGUUUUAUAAGGGCAAGAGCUUGGUCCCAUUUCCUGAGGCCCUGGUUUGGAGGUCCCUUGCUCUUCCAUUCCAGCCACAAGGGGAGCCUGAGCUGUGUUCAGCUCCGGGGGCCCCCCCCCCCGUGGACGUCAGCCACGCCUGGGCUGUGGAGGGCGGUGGGAGAAGGGUCCCCUGAGGUGGGUCCAUCUCAGAGCCUCACAGAUGGGGAUCCUGGCGGCACUGAGCCUUGCUGGGGGCCCUGGAGGCUGGGGUCCACCCUCCAGGGGAGUGCUAAUCUUCCCAGGGUCACAGGCCUCUGGCCUUCUUUGUGUUUUUUGGAGUGAUUCUCCUCUUCCUCUCUCCCCCACACCCUUCUUUGUCCCUCCUAAUAUUUGAUCCUUCCUGUUUUUGUGGUUCCUGCAAGUGGGGACGGCUGUUUUGUAAACAUGUUAUUAUAUUUUUCACUUUGGUGACUGUCAUGUGUUAUGGGUCCCCCYCCUCUCAGCACUGUUUAUAAAAUCCAGCCCUAUUGCUUCAGACCGCUGGGUCCUACCCCAUGGGGGGCACCCACAUAUUUUCUUGCCCCCCCUCCGCCAUGUCAAGGUGCCCUGACGAUCCCGGGGUGGAGUCGUGAGUGGAGUCACUGGGUCAUGGGGCACUUGUAUUCUUAACCUGAGGGAGCAUGACCCACCCCAGGCUGUUGUGGCUGCCCGGCCUACCCCGCCUCCCACAGGGCAGACGGCUCCUGGGUCCCCGUGUCCCCACGGAUACUGGCCUUAACCCGGCGUCCUAGAUGUGACCCCUGGUGGAUUUUGACAUGCCAAGCUUUCGCCAUCACUCUGUCAUCUUCGGGCACUUUGAAACCUGACUCUUCCCCCUCUGAGGGCUCCUUCAAGAGCGGAUGGCACAGGGAGGCCCUUCUCGGUGCCUCUGCCCUUUUGGUAAAUGCCAGGCACCAGUGACAAGAGCCACGUCAGUCCCCACCGGAGCAUCUUGUUUCCCUGGACCUCCCUGGAGUGUGCCCAGAGAUGCCAUCAGGGCUGAGUGCCCACACGAAGCCCCAGGAACCCUGAGCUUCCCCACCGCAAGGCCAUCAUGUUCUGAGCCUCACCUUGCCAUCUGUCAGCGACGUUGGUGCUGUUGGGAUUGGAGGUCGUGAGUAUGGAAUGAGCCCGAGCGUGCAAACCACACUUGAUGUCAGUGUGACAUAAUGGUGGGGGGAUCAUUUCUGAUGAGCAUCUUUGACUUUCACUUAGCACUAUGCCGGGCCCAGGAGAGGCUGCCUGAGGACCCUCUAUUUGGACUUAGCCUGCCUCCUUGAACAUGGUACUUUGCCUCAGCCCCAGAACGUGGCCGAGCAUGGGACCAGGCUCACUAGCUGAGAGGCUGAAUGGACAGCCGAGAGGCUCCCRCUUCACAGUGUUGAGGCAGAAGGCAGCUGAACUCCAACUGGGAGGUCAUGUGGGCUGGACCGGAUGUUUGAGGUGGCUUCCUACUGAAGGUGCUUUUAGGGUCCUGUGACUUGAGCUGAGUUCUGCCACCUUUCCAGGAGACCCUCCUCCUUCCUGAGCAUCCCUGUGGUGGGUGCUGGGCUGGGCAUGGUACCUCUGUGUUCCACAUGGUCCUGUCCACAGGGGUUCCUGGAAAACCCCACAUCCAGCAGGACUGAGGCUCAUUCAGGGCCUAUUUGAUGGGCUAGGGGUGAGGMUGAGGAAGAGAGGUCAGCCUCUGGGAGGCCAGGCUUUGUGGGAGGGAAAUGUUGCCAGUCCUUUGGUGUUGAUUCUGGGCCCUGGUCCCAGCUGUGACCAGUAUGCAUGAUCCCCUUCCUGCCCUGCCGUGUCCAGCCCAUGACCCUGGAGGGUAAAAGAGCUGAGUGCCCUGCUGUGGGGCAGAGAGUCCAGCACAGGUGUGAGGGACUCCUGAGUGACAAGCUGCUGUUCUUGCUAGAUUACUAAAGCAGUCUCUCGGGCAGCUGGGCCUUCUAGGUGUGGUUCUGACACUACACGAUCUUCACCAGUUUUUGCCUGUCAAAUCCAUUUCCUCCCCUGUGAGAUGAAA